GAUGAACGCUGGCGGCGUGCUUAAUACAUGCAAGUCGAGCGAACAGAUGAGGAGCUUGCUCCUCUGACGUUAGCGGCGGACGGGUGAGUCACACGUGUAUAACCUACCUAUAUGACUGGGAUAACUUCGGGAAACCGGAGCUAAUAGCGGAUAAUAUAUUGAACCGCAUGGUUCAAUAGUGAAAGACGGCUUUGCUGUCUCUUCUCGAUGCAUCCGCGCUGCAUUAGCUAGUUGGUAAGGUAACGGCAUACCAAGGCAACGAUGCGUAGGCGACCUGACAGGGUGGUCGGCCACACUGGAACUGGGACGGGGUCCAGACUCCUACGGGAGGCAGCAGUAGGGAAUCGGCGGCAAUGGGCGGAAACAUGACAGAGCAACGCCGCGUGAGUGGUGAAAGUCUUCGGAUCGGAAAACUCUGUUAUUAGGGAAGAACAAAUGUGGAAGUAACUAUGCACGUAUUGACGGUACCGAAUCAGAAAGCCACGGCUAACUACGUG
rnacentral:rRNA from 1 species